CAUGCAAGUCGAACCGAAAGGCCCUUCGGGGUACUCGAGUGGCGAACGGGUGAGUAACACGUGGGUGAUCUGCCCUGCACUUUGGGAUAAGCCUGGGAAACUGGGUCUAAUACCGAAUACACCCUUCUGGCUGCAUGGUCUGGGAGGGGAAAGCUUUUGCGGUGUGGGAUGGGCCCGCGGCCUAUCAGCUUGUUGGUGAGGUUACGGCUCACCAAGGCGACGACGGGUAGCCGGCCUGAGAGGGUGACCGGCCACACUGGGACUGAGAUACGGCCCAGACUCCUACGGGAGGCAGCAGUGGGGAAUAUUGCACAAUGGGCGCAAGCCUGAUGCAGCGACGCCGCGUGAGGGAUGACGGCCUUCGGGUUGUAAACCUCUUUCGCCAGGGACGAAGCGCAAGUGACGGUACCUGGAGAAGAAGGACCGGCCAACUACGUGCCAGCAGCCGCGGUAAUACGUAGGGUCCGAGCGUUGUCCGGAAUUACUGGGCGUAAAGAGCUCGUAGGUGGUUUGUCGCGUUGUUCGUGAAAACUCACA
rnacentral:rRNA from 1 species